rnacentral:rRNA from 1 species
UACAGAGGUCCCAAGCGUUGUUCGGAUUUACUGGGCGUAAAGGGUGCGUAGGCGGUGGGGUAAGUUUGAGGUGAAAGCUCCGGGCUCAACCCGGAAAAUGCCUUGAAAACUAUCCGGCUAGAGGGUUGGAGGGGAGACUGGAAUUCUCGGUGUAGCAGUGAAAUGCGUAGAUCUCGAGAGGAACACCAGUGGCGAAGGCGGGUCUCUGGACAACACCUGACGCUGGGGCACGAAAGCGUGGGGAGCGAACAGG